rfam:Oryza rufipogon genomic scaffold, chr03
GCCCCAAAGUUUGUUUGCACCACUAAAAUGCCAUAGAGUUUAGAGUAAUUUGCUCUUUUUGCCUGCCUGACUGUGAGACCGACUGGUCGAAUAGAGACGAAAGUCGGCCAUAGUGAUCCGGGAGUCCCGUGUGGAAGGGCUCUCGCUCAAC